rnacentral:rRNA from 1 species
CAUGCAAGUCGAGCGGGGAAAGGUAGCUUGCUACUGGACCUAGCGGCGGACGGGUGAGUAAUGCUUAGGAAUCUGCCUAUUAGUGGGGGACAACAUUCCGAAAGGAAUGCUAAUACCGCAUACGUCCUACGGGAGAAAGCAGGGGACCUUCGGGCCUUGCGCUAAUAGAUGAGCCUAAGUCGGAUUAGCUAGUUGGUGGGGUAAAGGCCUACCAAGGCGACGAUCUGUAGCGGGUCUGAGAGGAUGAUCCGCCACACUGGGACUGAGACACGGCCCAGACUCCUACGGGAGGCAGCAGUGGGGAAUAUUGGACAAUGGGGGGAACCCUGAUCCAGCCAUGCCGCGUGUGUGAAGAAGGCCUUAUGGUUGUAAAGCACUUUAAGCGAGGAGGAGGCUACUAGUAUUAAUACUACUGGAUAGUGGACGUUACUCGCAGAAUAAGCACCGGCUAACUCUGUGCCAGCAGCCGCGGUAAUACAGAGGGUGCGAGCGUUAAUCGGAUUUACUGGGCGUAAAGCGUGCGUAGGCGGCCAUUUAAGUCAAAUGUGAAAUCCCCGAGCUUAACUUGGGAAUUGCAUUCGAUACUGGAUGGCUAGAGUAUGGGAGAGGAUGGUAGAAUUCCAGGUGUAGCGGUGAAAUGCGUAGAGAUCUGGAGGAAUACCGAUGGCGAAGGCAGCCAUCUGGCCUAAUACUGACGCUGAGGUACGAAAGCAUGGGGAGCAAACAGGAUUAGAUACCCUGGUAGUCCAUGCCGUAAACGAUGUCUACUAGCCGUUGGGGCCUUUGAGGCUUUAGUGGCGCAGCUAACGCGAUAAGUAGACCGCCUGGGGAGUACGGUCGCAAGACUAAAACUCAAAUGAAUUGACGGGGGCCCGCACAAGCGGUGGAGCAUGUGGUUUAAUUCGAUGCAACGCGAAGAACCUUACCUGGCCUUGACAUACUAGAAACUUUCCAGAGAUGGAUUGGUGCCUUCGGGAAUCUAGAUACAGGUGCUGCAUGGCUGUCGUCAGCUCGUGUCGUGAAAUGUUGGGUUAAGUUCCGCAACGAGCGCAACCCUUUUCCUUAUUUGC